AAAAAAAAAAAGAGCAUAAUUUGUAUAAAAAAUUUACGGAUUUUAAAUUUUUAUAAAAAUAAGUUUUUUUUUUUUAUUUUGCAGAUUCGGUUUAUAUUUUUAAUAAGCUGAUCAAAAUACUCUUAUAUUUUUUUCUCUUAUUUUUUUUAUUCAUCUUUUUCUCUCCGGUCAUCCUCAAAAUCUGCAAAAUCUUCGUCGCUGUCGCCGUCACCAUCCACGGCCAUGUAUUCCACUGCAUCGUGAUUUAUGCCAUAUCUGAAUCGGCGUCGACGAAUUGUAAGAGUGGGGAGCGCAACGUUGACAUCGGAGCGGUGGAAUAGGAGGAUAAAAAAGAAAAGAUGAGAGGAAAAAA
rnacentral:lncRNA from 1 species